rnacentral:rRNA from 1 species
CAGCCGCCACGGUAAUACGAAGGGGGCUAGCGUUGUUCGGAUUUACUGGGCGUAAAACGCACGUAGGCGGAUCGAUCAGUCAGGGGUGAAAUCCUGGAGCUCAACUCCAGAACUGCCUUUGAUACUGUCGAUCUCGAGUCCGGAAGAGGUGAGUGGAACUCCUAGUGUAGAGGUGGAAUUCGUAGAUAUUAGGAAGGACACCAGUGGCGAAGGCGGCUCACUGGUCCGGUACUGACGCUGAGGUGCGAAAGCGUGGGGAGCAAACAGGAUUAGAUACCCGUGUAGUCCCUGUCUCUUAUAC